GUCUUUCAUGCUGUGGUUGCUUUGUUCUUUUUCUCUUUGCAAUAAGUCUUACUGCUGCUCGCUGUUUGGGUCCACACUGCCUUUAUGAGCUGUAACACUCACUGCAAAAGGUCUGUAGCUACACUCCUGAGCCGGAAAGACCACGAACCCACCAGAAGGAGGAAACUACGAACACAUCCGAACAUCAGAAGGAACAAACUGUGGACACGCUGCCUUUAAGAACUGUAACAUUCACCGCGAGGGUCUGUGGCUUCAUUCUUGAAGUCAGUGAGACCAAGACCCCACCAAUUCUGGAUACACUGCUACAUCGGGUCCUCAUCCAAUCUGCCUGGUGUCCCUACAAGAAGAAGAAAUAUGGACACUAAGAAAUACGAAGGGUGCAUGCAGAGAAGAGAGCAUGUGAGGGCACACAGGAGGCGGCCGCGGCUCUGUAAGACAAAGCAAGGGGGCUCAGUAGAAACCAGCUCUGGGCCGGGUGCGGUGGCUCACGCAUGUAAUCCCAGGCGUGAUCAUUUGAGGUCAGGAUUUAGAGACCAUCCCGGAAAUACGGCAAAACCCCAUCUCUACUAAAAAUAGAAAAAUUAGCCGGGCGUGGUGGUGGGCGCCUGUAAUCCCAGCUACUCGAGAAGCUGAGGGACGAGAAUUGCUUGAACCUGGGGCUACUCUGGAAGCUGAGGCACGAGAAUUGCUUGAAUCUGGGAGGUGGAGGUUGCAGUGCAACCAAGAUGGUGCCACUGCACUCCAGCCUAGGUAGCAGAGCAAGACUCCGUUUCAAAAAUGAAAAGCAGAAACCAACCCUGAUGACAUCUUAAUCUUGGACGUCAGCCUCCAGAAAUUGUUGGGGCCUUCCACUAUUCCUCAGGUUGGAGUGCAGUGGCAAGAUCACGGCUCACUGCAGCCUUGAACUCCUGGUUCAAGUGGUCCUCCUGCCUUGAGCUC
rnacentral:lncRNA from 1 species